rnacentral:rRNA from 1 species
GAAGCUUGCUUCUCUUGAGAGCGGCGGACGGGUGAGUAAUGCCUAGGAAUCUGCCUGGUAGUGGGGGAUAACGUUCGGAAACGGACGCUAAUACCGCAUACGUCCUACGGGAGAAAGCAGGGGACCUUCGGGCCUUGCGCUAUCAGAUGAGCCUAGGUCGGAUUAGCUAGUUGGUGAGGUAAUGGCUCACCAAGGCGACGAUCCGUAACUGGUCUGAGAGGAUGAUCAGUCACACUGGAACUGAGACACGGUCCAGACUCCUACGGGAGGCAGCAGUGGGGAAUAUUGGACAAUGGGCGAAAGCCUGAUCCAGCCAUGCCGCGUGUGUGAAGAAGGUCUUCGGAUUGUAAAGCACUUUAAGUUGGGAGGAAGGGCAGUUACCUAAUACGUGAUUGUUUUGACGUUACCGACAGAAUAAGCACCGGCUAACUCUGUGCCAGCAGCCGCGGUAAUACAGAGGGUGCAAGCGUUAAUCGGAAUUACUGGGCGUAAAGCGCGCGUAGGUGGUUAGUUAAGUUGGAUGUGAAAUCCCCGGGCUCAACCUGGGAACUGCAUUCAAAACUGACUGACUAGAGUAUGGUAAGGGUGGGGGGGAAAUUUCCGGUGUAGCGGUGAAAUGCGUAGAUAUAGGAAGGAACACCAGUGGCGAAGGCGACCACCUGGACUGAUACUGACACUGAGGUGCGAAAGCGUGGGGAGCAAACAGGAUUAGAUACCCUGGUAGUCCACGCCGUAAACGAUGUCAACUAGCCGUUGGGAGCCUUGAGCUCUUAGUGGCGCAGCUAACGCAUUAAGUUGACCGCCUGGGGGAGUACGGCCGCAAGGUUAAAACUCAAAUGAAUUGACGGGGGCCCGCACAAGCGGUGGAGCAUGUGGUUUAAUUCGAAGC